CAGAUACACAUAAAAUGACAUACACACACUGACACACACUCACAGGCACACUCAUUCUCACUCACAGACACACACUGACAGCUACACUCACUCGUUCACUCACAGUAAGGUGGACAGCCCUAGAACAUGAGGCAAACAAGGCAUUUGUCUGGGAGCUUAGGUGGCAUUUUUUGGCGCCCCCCCCUGAAAGUGCCGCCCUAGGCAAAUG